UACGUAGGGGGCAAGCGUUGUCCGGAAUUAUUGGGCGUAAAGAGCGUGUAGGCGGUCCGGUAAGUCAGCUGUGAAAGUCAAGGGCUCAACCCUUGAAAGCCGGUUGAUACUGUCGGGCUAGAGUCCGGAAGAGGCGAGUGGAAUUCCCGGUGUAGCGGUGAAAUGCGCAGAUAUCGGGGAGGAACACCAAUGGCGAAGGCAGCUCGCUGGGACGGUACUGGACGCUGAGACGCGAAAGCGUGGGGAGCAAACAGG
rnacentral:rRNA from 1 species